CAUCACCAGUGCAGGGAGAGCGGAUCUAGUAAGGGGGAUGGUGGAUCCGAUAAGGAAAUGGUGGUGCAGAGACUCCGAUGGUGUGAGGAUAGUGAAGAAAGAGGUGGCGGCACAUGGAUGGUAAGGGCAAGAGCUAGAGAACCAGAAGGGGACACAGUGCAGAAAAUUUAGUAAACGGAUGGAGGCAACGAGGAAGCAGUGCAGGAAUGCCGGUGGGGAUGGUGGCAUGCAUAAGCUGGAGAAUUGAGAGAGGGG
rnacentral:lncRNA from 1 species